GACGUAGGGGGCCAGCGUUGCUCGGAAUUACUGGGCGUAAAGGGUUCGUAGGCGGUGCGGCAAGUCGGAAGUGAAAUCUUCAGGCUUAACUUGGAGGCUGCUUCCGAAACUGCCGUGCUGGAGUGCGGGAGAGGCCAGUGGAAUUGCAGGUGUAGCGGUGAAAUGCGUAGAUAUCUGCAGGAACACCCGUGGCGAAGGCGGCUGGCUGGACCGCAACUGACGCUGAGGAACGAAAGCUAGGGGAGCAAACAGG
rnacentral:rRNA from 1 species